rnacentral:sRNA from 1 species
UUUGGGCUCUGGGCCUCUGCCGCUCUCUGGCCGUAAGUGCUGAGCUGCCGGGAACGGCAGCUUCUGACGCUGGGCCGUUGGACGCUGCGGAACCAGGCUUCUUCACUUUGAGUUUCCGCCGCGAAGCGCCAGUCCGGGCCGAGGAGGGAGUGGGAACUUCAUGAGGCCCUCGAACAUCUGAAGAAAGAGCAAGAAGAGGCCUGGAAGCUUGAAGUUGGUGAAAGGAAACGAACUGCCACCUGGAAGAUACAGGUGGAAACCCGAAAACAAAGUAUUGUAUGGGAGUUUGAAAAAUACCAGCGAUUACUAGAGAAAAAGCAGCCACCACAUCGGCAGCUGGGGGCAGAGGUAGCAGCAGCUCUGGCCAGCCUACAGCGGGAGGCAGCAGAGACCAUGCAGAAACUGGAGUUGAACCAUAGUGAGCUCAUCCAGCAGAGCCAGGUCCUGUGGAGGAUGAUUGCAGAAUUGAAAGAGAGGUCGCAGAGGCCUGUCCGCUGGAUGUUGCAGGAUAUUCAGGAAGUGUUAAACAGGUAUGUUCUCACCCUUGGAGCCU